rnacentral:tRNA from 1 species
ACGCUCUUAUUUUAAAGAUAAAAUAUAAGUCUCCAAAACUUUAAGAUGAGGGUUCAAGUCCUUCAGAGCGUG